rnacentral:rRNA from 1 species
UACGGGGGGGGGGCAAGCGUUUGUUCGGAAUUACUGGGCGUAAAGCGCACGUAGGCGGACAUUUAAGUCAGGGGUGAAAUCCCGGGGCUCAACCCCGGAACUGCCUUUGAUACUGGUAGUCUUGAGUUCGAGAGAGGUGAGUGGAAUUCCGAGUGUAGAGGUGAAAAUUCGUAGAUAUUCGGAGGAACACCAGUGGCGAAGGCGGCUCACUGGCUCGAUACUGACGCUGAGGUGCGAAAGCGUGGGGAGCAAACAGG